ensembl:misc_RNA
UUGGCAGCCCCGCAGACUGAAGUCCUCUGUUCAUCCACAGAACAGGUACAGCACGGGCAAGAUUUACCCACCCACCCUCAGCCCUGAUGUGGAGGGACCACCACUAGGGGUGGGAGGGUAAUUCAGCUUCUGAGGCCCUUUCGCUCCUUGGAGUCU